AAUCUGGCACCUUCGGUGUCCGAGUUGUAAUUUGAAGAAGGUAACUUUGGAGUUGGCUCUUGUCUAUGUUCCUUGGAACAGGACGUCACAGAGGGUGAGAAUCCCGUGCGAUGAGAUGCCCAAUUCUAUGUAAAGUGCUUUCGAAGAGUCGAGUUGUUUGGGAAUGCAGCUCUAAGUGGGUGGUAAAUUCCAUCUAAAGCUAAAUAUUGGCGAGAGACCGAUAGCGAACAAGUACAGUGAUGGAAAGAUGAAAAGAACUUUGAAAAGAGAGUGAAAAAGUACGUGAAAUUGUUGAAAGGGAAGGGCUUGAGAUCAGACUUGGUAUUUUGCGAUCCUUUCCUUCUUGGUUGGGUUCCUCGCAGCUUACUGGGCCAGCAUCGGUUUGGAUGGUAGGAUAAUGACUAAGGAAUGUGGCUCUACUUCGGUGGAGUGUUAUAGCCUUGGUUGAUACUGCCUGUCUAGACCGAGGACUGCGUCUUUGACUAGGAUGCUGGCAUAAUGAUCUUAAGCCACCCGUCU
rnacentral:rRNA from 1 species